rnacentral:rRNA from 1 species
CCUACGGGUGGCAGCAGUGAGGAAUAUUGGUCAAUGGACGAGAGUCUGAACCAGCCAAGUAGCGUGAAGGAUGACUGCCCUAUGGGUUGUAAACUUCUGUUAUAGGGGAAUAAAAUGUUCCACGUGUGGGAUGUUGUAUGGACCAUAUGAAUAAGGAUAGGCUAACUCCGUGCCAGCAGCCGCGGUAAUACGGAGGAUCCGAGCGUUAUCCGGAUGGAUUGGGUUUAAAGGGAGCGUAGGUGGAUUGUUAAGUCAGUUGUGAAAGUUUGCGGCUCAACCGGAAAAUUGCAGUUGACACUGGCAGUCUUGAGUACAGUAGCGGUGUGCGGCAUUCGUUGUGUAGCGG